GUAGGGAAUAUUGGACAAUGGGCGCAAGCCUGAUCCAGCAACGCCGCGUGGAUGAUGAAGCAUCUUGGUGUGUAAAAUCCUGUCAGUGGGGACGAAACGUCGGGAGAGGAAAUGAUCCCGGCUUGACUGUACCUGCAGAGGAAGUUCCGGCCAACUCCGUGCCAGCAGCCGCGGUAAUACGGGGGGAACGAGCGUUGUUCGGAUUUACUGGGCGUAAAGGGCACGCAGGCGGGAAAGCAAGUCAGCUGUGAAAUUUCUCAGCUUAACUGGGAAACUGCAUUUGAUACUGCUUUUCUUGAGUACGAGAGAGGAUGGCGGAAUUCUUGGUGUAGCGGUGAAAUGCGUAGAUAUCAAGAAGAACACCGGUGGCGAAGGCGGCCAUCUGGCUCGAUACUGACGCUCAUGUGCGAAGGUCGGGGGAGCAAACAGGAUUAGAAACCCUAGUAGUCC
rnacentral:rRNA from 1 species